rnacentral:rRNA from 1 species
GAUCCUGGCUCAGGAUGAACGCUAGCUACAGGCUUAACACAUGCAAGUCGAGGGGCGAGCAUGUUGGUUUGCUUGCAACCAAUGAUGGCGACCGGCGCACGGGUGAGUAACGCGUAUCCAACCUUCCGCAUACUCGGGAAUAGCCUUUCGAAAGAAAGAUUAAUGCCCGAUGGUUUCCCGAAUCCGCAUGAGAACGGGAAUAAAGAUUCAUCGGUAUGCGAUGGGGAUGCGUCCC